UCUUACGGCCAUACCACCCUGAGCAAGCCCAAUCUCGUCUGAUCUUGAAAGCUAAGCAGAGUCGGGCCUGAUUAGUACUUGGAUGGAGACCGCCUGGGAAUACCAGGUAAUCUAAGCU
rnacentral:rRNA from 1 species